AUUUAUAGCUCUAGGAUCGGCCUGUACGGUAUCAGCUAGUUGGUGAGGUAAUGGCUCACCAAGGCAAUGACACCUAACUGGUUUGAGAGGAUGAUCAGUCACACUGGAACUGAGACACGGUCCAGACUCCUACGGGAGGCAGCAGUGGGGAAUAUUGCACAAUGGACGAAAGUCUGAUGCAGCAACGCCGCGUGGAGGAUGACACAUUUCGGUGCGUAAACUCCUUUUAUAUAGGAAGAUAAUGACGGUACUAUAUGAAUAAGCACCGGCUAACUCCGUGCCAGCAGCCGCGGUAAUACGGAGGGUGCAAGCGUUACUCGGAAUUACUGGGCGUAAAGAGCGUGUAGGCGGGUAAAUAAGUUGGAAGUGAAAUCCUAUGGCUCAACCAUAGAACUGCUUCCAAAACUGUUAACCUAGAAUGUGGGAGAGGUAGAUGGAAUUUCUGGUGUAGGGGUAAAAUCCGUAGAUAUCAGAAGGAAUACCGAUUGCGAAGGCGAUCUACUGGAACAUAAUUGACGCUGAGACGCGAAAGCGUGGGGAGCAAACAGGAUUAGAUACCCUGGUAGUCCACGCCCUAAACGAUGUACACUAGUUGUUGUGAGGCUAGACCUUGCAGUAAUGCAGUUAACACAUUAAGUGUACCGCCUGGGGAGUACGGUCGCAAGAUUAAAACUCAAAGGAAUAGACGGGGACCCGCACAAGCGGUGGAGCAUGUGGUUUAAUUCGACAUACGCGAAGAACCUUACCUGGUCUUGACAUAGAAAGAACUUUCCAGAGAUGGAUUGGUGCCUGCUUGCAGGAGCUUUCAUACAGGUGCUGCACGGCUGUCGUCAGCUCGUGUCGUGAGAUGUUGGGUUAAGUCCCGCAACGAGCGCAACCCUCGUCGUUAGUUGCUAACAGUUCGGCUGAGAACUCUAACGAGACUGCCUACGCAAGUAGGAGGAAGGUGAGGACGACGUCAAGUCAUCAUGGCCCUUACGACCAGGGCUACACACGUGCUACAAGGGGGUAUACAAAGAGCAGCGAUACGGUGACGUGGAGCGAAUCUCAAAAAUGCCUCCCAGUUCGGAUAGUAGUCUGCAACUCGACUACUUGAAGUUGGAAUCGCUAGUAAUCGUAGAUCAGCUAUGCUACGGUGAAUACGUUCCCGGGUCUUGUACUCACCGCCCGUCACACCAUGGGAGUUGAAUUCAUUCGAAGCGGGGAUGCUAAAAUAGCUACCUUCCACAGUGGAUUUAGCGACUGGGGUGAAGUCGAAACAAGGUA
rnacentral:rRNA from 1 species